GGCCUUCUUGAAGAAACAGACACAUGGAUUCUGCAUACUAGCCCUUUCAGGAACAGAAAUCAAGUCUUCCCACUGAUGAUUUGGCUUCCAGCACACAAAACUCGUGUGGAGAGGAAAAGGAAAGAGACCUUCUUGAAGACAGCCACAUGGAUCCUGCAAACUAGCCAUUUUGCGGGAACAGAAAUCAAGACAUCCCAUGGAUAAUUUGGCAUCCAGCUCACAAAACUUGCAUGGAGAGGCAAUGGGAAGAGGCCUUCUUGAAGAUACAGACACUUGGAUUCUGCAAACUUGCCAUUUUGUGGGAACAGAAAUCAAGUCUUCCCACUGAUAAUUUGGCUUCCUGCACACAUAACUCACGUGGUAAGAAGACCCCUUCUAGGCCUCCUGUCUCAGUCCCUGUCUUUGUCUGUCUGUAC